rnacentral:lncRNA from 1 species
GGUCUAAUGAUCCACUGGACUCCCCCUGUUACUCAUAAAGAAGGGUUAUGACCUCUCUCAGCAGCGCUAUGCAAUCAGUGGUUCCUUGUAAUGCUGCUUUUCCAAUAGUGUCUACUCUGACGUAAUUUCUGCCAGUGCUACGGUGUGAGCGGUGAUGGCCACUCAUGGAUGCCGUAUGCCGAUCAAUUUUCAUCAUCCCUGAAGAGCGCUAGUUAAUCAGGUACAUAUUUUGUUUAUAAAGAGAAUAAUCUAAUCAUUAGUAUGGAACUGUGGGUAUGGUAGUUAAGCAGGGAUAGGCUUGUCUUAAGCUGAUUAAUUCUCUUAAUUUCUAGGUAAUUAGACUUAUUAGAUGCAUUUUGUACUUGUACUGAGCAAUUUCCCUUAUUAUUUAUGACUUGGGCACUGGCAGUCACUUGGGGGUGUAUUUGUCUCUAGCUGUUUCGUUCCCGUUCUCUGCAGAAGAUGUCAGCUAAUUGGAGGCAUUUUGUGCCUAUGGUGAGUAAUUCUCCCAUUCCUGGGGAAAUGGGAGCUGAGGAUGGUUGAUCAGAAGCAGAUUUGUCAUAGGCUGAUUAAUUCCUAGUGUUCCUCAGAAUUCCAGCUAACGUUUCUUCUUCGUAUACCCAGUCCAGGGCAUAUGUAAGGAAGUGGUUAUUACAUGGAAACCUUUAAAUUGUCUGCUGGCGGAUUGCCAUGAGCAUAGGUAGUGCUGGAGGAGUCGGUGACCUUCUGCCAAUGCUGAAUUACCCCUCGGCAGCUGCGUAUGGUGGCGAUGAACAGGAAGCAGAUGUAACUCAUGGCAAAAAACCCCAUCUCUACAAGGGGCCAGGGUAUCUCUACUUUUACUUUGGAUAAGGAAACUGCAGGUGAUGAUGGGCAGAGACAUCGCUGUGCUUUCGUUAGCAGUUCCCCUCAUCCCUGGAGGAUGCCAAAGAGCUGGAGAUAGUUUGGUAGUUGAGCUCUGCGCUGCUCAUCCCUCAGCGAUCUGGGAAAAGAUAUUGAGCUGGCCAUUAAAACUGCGUUUCAUCGUCUCUAACUGUUCCUUCCAGUGGCAGAGGAACAAUGUACAACAGCAGCAGGACUGGUGUGGGUUAAACCUGUGGCAGAAGGAAAAUGCAGUCUUGGAGCAGUUGAAGGGUUCCUGGGUUCUGCUCUUAAGACAUGGACGCUCUACACUCUUGUGUACAUCCCACAGCUGGACUGGGCAGGAGGAUUUUGGUGUUGAACUGGACAUCCUUUAGCCUGGGUUGCAUUCUCUCCCCAAAACCCCUAAAUUCAGAUGUCUACUCAGCAGUCUAUACCUGAGCUAAACAUUCUGGACUCUCUUUAUAGGUGAUGACAGCUACGUGAAUAUCAUCACUGGUGUUUAUGACAUGCUUCAUCAGAGAAGAUGUAGGAUAUGCUGAACUGUGCAUCACUGCCCGUCCUCGGCUGUGCUGACGGCCUCUGGUGUCUCCAAAGGGAAAUAGGAUGCUGUCUGUAGACGGAGAUGUCCACACUGGUGACACCUUCACUGAUCUGAGGAGAUCCUGCCACUGGUUAGGGACUCCUGUGCUGUACUUUACAGAUCAUGCUGCUGAGAUAUUUUCCUUCCCAGAGCCAGGGGCUCGGAUCCAAGAGGUCAUGGAAAGACUGGUGAAGCUUGUCCACCCCUCUGACUAUUAUUCCCUGCUGCUCUUCCAUUUGGGCACCGAGGAUACUGCCAAGGGCAACUUGGGAAGUAUCAAAUGGGAUUGCAGAGCUCUGGGGGUGGCGGUCAGGGGUAU